GGAGAGGUGGCUGAGUGGCUGAAGGCGCCGCUCUCGAAAAGCGGUAUAUGGGUGACUGUAUCGCGGGUUCGAAUCCCGCCCUCUCCGCCA
rnacentral:tRNA from 1 species